GAAAGGAUAAGGAAUUAGAAGAUGAUGUUUCUAAUAACGACAUGGGGCUGUUGUUGAUCUGAAGAGGAGAAUUAUUGUGGUCAGAUCUUAGGGUUUUGGACCAAUCUGUAUCAAGAUUGAAAAGUGAAGCUGGAUAGUUCAAUGACGGUGUUAAUGGUGGUUGGCGUGACAUGGGGUUGAAAUAAUUGGCAAAAGGGUCAAACAUGGAGCGGGUAGUUCAAUGAAGGUGUUAAUGGUGGUUGGCGUGAGAUGGGGUUAAAAUAAUUGGCAAAAGGAUCAAACAUGGAGGCAUUUUGUGUGUGAAAAUUAGCAGAAGAAAAAGAAUCAGCAGCAGCAGCACGUGAAUCGUACUCUUCAUCACCACCACCACUUGAUGACUGUAGACUUGCACUGUUGUUUCCAGAAUCCAUUUAAAAGAGGAUAACAGCUCAGAGAACAAAAGGAAUAACGAAAGAAGAAGAAACAACAAAGGACAGAGAUAUGGAGAGAGAGAAUUUUUUGUUGGUUUUAGUGCACAAAAGAUUUUGUUACUUACUGCAAAAAACCAAUUAAAGAAGAAGCCAAUCAGAUAUGUAUUUUCAGAAAAGUACCCUCCAAUAUGACUUCAAACCUCUGAUAAAACAUGAUGAUCUGCACAAAAGAAGAAGAAGAUGAUGAUGAUGCUACUAGUACAAUUACUCCUUUUUCCCAUGCUCUUUUUAAUUUGCCUCUGAGCCAGAACAAGUACUGUUACAAACGACACAAGAGAUGAGAUUAUCAUAAAGGUGAAAAAUAGAUGAGAUCAAUAAACCUCUGUUAUUUUUUUGCCUUCUAUAGGUACUGCGUGCUACAACUAGGGUUUUCAGCAGAGAGAAAUAAAGCAAAAAGAAAAAAAUGAGAGAAAGAAAGGGAGAAAUGAAGAAGAAGGUUUAAACCAAUAUUUAUCUCUCUGUAAAAGAAAAGAGCAAGUAGAAGAAGAAAAAAGAGAGGCGGCUUAAGAGUAGAUAUCUCAAUAGUUUCCACUCAAAGGAUAUUACAGAGUGGGGUAUGCCAUGCCAGGCGCUCUUCCUGAAAGGGACUGCUGUGUGUGUGCGAGAGAGAGAGAGAGAAUAGAGAGUUCUCUUUCUAUGGUUUUAGAUUUACAGUGUGAAAGGUUGCCUAUUGUUUUUGACAAGAAUUAAAAUCAGCCAACAUAAAGUUACUACGAAAAAGUCUAACGGAAGUAAUUGAAGUUAAAAGAUUUAAUUUUCUUAAUAAAUAUUUGGUCUUUUUUUUUUUACAUGAAAUAAUGAGGUAAGCAUGAAACCAAAUUAGAG
rnacentral:lncRNA from 1 species